rnacentral:rRNA from 1 species
GUGGGGAAUUUUGGACAAUGGGGGCAACCCUGAUCCAGCCAUCCCGCGUGUGCGAUGAAGGCCUUCGGGUUGUAAAGCACUUUUGGCAGGGAAGAAAAGUUUCGGGCUAAUACCCUGGAGCGAUGACGGUACCUGCAGAAUAAGCACCGGCUAACUACGUGCCAGCAGCCGCGGUAAUACGUAGGGUGCAAGCGUUAAUCGGAAUUACUGGGCGUAAAGCGUGCGCAGGCGGUUCGGAAAGAAAGAUGUGAAAUCCCAGGGCUUAACCUUGGAACUGCAUUUUUAACUGUCGAACUCGAGUAUGUCAGAGGGGGGUAGAAUUCCACGUGUAGCAGUGAAAUGCGUAGAGAUGUGGAGGAAUACCGAUGGCGAAGGCAGCCCCCUGGGAUAAUACUGACGCUCAUGCACGAAAGCGUGGGGAGCAAACAGGAUUAGAUACCCCAGUAGUCC